rnacentral:lncRNA from 1 species
CCAGACGUUAACAUCAGGUAUCUUCCUCGAUUGAUCCCUACCUUAAUUUUCCGAUGGUAUCUCACACCGAACCCGGAGCUCACAACUAAAGGUCCUUGUUUGGAGGGCGUGGACGCAGAGGGGAGAAAGGAGGAUUUCCCCGACUGGAGAAGAAUGAUGGGGCCCAGGGGCUGCAGGUGAGGAAGCCAACCAGCCACGUGAGAAUUCAGGUGGGUGACUGGUGGCCACUUCCCUGAUUGGGCCUGG